CAGAGAACAGCAUGGAGUCAAAAAGAAGCAGAGAACUCAUUGACUUGAAAGUGCAUAAAGUGAACUGAAAGAUUAGUACUUUGCUAGCUUGGCGCCUAGAGGGGUGUGAAAGCUGUUGAUCAGAUGAGCUGUUGCAGUACCACUUGGGUAUGUUAGUUUGAAGUCUAUUACCAUUAUCUGCAAACACACAGAAAUUGGCAAUGGGAACAACUGAGAAGAGGCCAAGAAAGCUGACAACAAAGAGGAAACCGAUAAUCCAACCCAAAGAAGGGUUCUUGACUCCACGGUAACCAUCUCCUGAUUGGUUUGCAAUUCGUUCACUCAUGCCAAAGAGAAUGUCACAAAUCACACACGCAAGCAAAACUAUGGCAAGAUGCAAUUCAAAACAGAUUUCUAAUUGAGUUAUCUGAUUCAAUGUGAAGAUGAGUUUUCUUUACCGCUGAAGGCAAUGCCAGAAGAAGCAACAACACAGGUCUGAAUAACAGUAUUCUCCUGACGAGUAAAUGGCUGUUUCAAGAGACCAGACCUAU